GGUUAUAUGUAUAUGUUUUGUGGGAGGAAGCUGGCAGCGGGUAAAGUUUGAGUUUUUUGGGCCCUAUGAUUUAUAACUAAAUAUAUAUGUAGUUCGGGCUACCUACAUGAGGGGAAGAUUAUGCUAAGUGGUAAUAUCAUACAGGAUACGUAAUACGGUGUAUGUACGAAUCAGCGAUUGGAACGGGUCACUUUUUGCAACUGCACUCCAACUUUCCUUGGCAUGCUCGUAUGUUCGAUGAGAGUUGGGACUGUGUGAUGAUGUACAAACUAGCGUAUGUGUCAUCAUGCAGAAAUUCACAGGAGGAUGAACGAACAGGACAUUGGAGCAACGGUU